rnacentral:rRNA from 1 species
CAUGCAAGUCGAACGAAGCGCUUAAACGGAUUUCUUCGGAUUGAAGUUUUUGCGACUGAGUGGCGGACGGGUGAGUAACGCGUGGGUAACCUGCCUCGUACAGGGGGAUAACAGUUAGAAAUGACUGCUAAUACCGCAUAAGCGCACAGUGCUGCAUGGCACAGUGUGAAAAACUCCGGUGGUAUGAGAUGGACCCGCGUCUGAUUAGCUAGUUGGUGGGGUAACGGCCUACCAAGGCGACGAUCAGUAGCCGGCCUGAGAGGGUGAGCGGUCACAUUGGGACUGAGACACGGCCCAAACUCCUACGGGAGGCAGCAGUGGGGAAUAUUGCACAAUGGGGGAAACCCUGAUGCAGCGACGCCGCGUGAGCGAAGAAGUAUUUCGGUAUGUAAAGCUCUAUCAGCAGGGAAGAAAAUGACGGUACCUGACUAAGAAGCACCGGCUAAAUACGUGCCAGCAGCCGCGGUAAUACGUAUGGUGCAAGCGUUAUCCGGAUUUACUGGGUGUAAAGGGAGCGUAGACGGUUGUGUAAGUCUGAUGUGAAAGCCCGGGGCUCAACCCCGGGACUGCAUUGGAAACUAUGUAACUAGAGUGUCGGAGAGGUAAGCGGAAUUCCUAGUGUAGCGGUGAAAUGCGUAGAUAUUAGGAGGAACACCAGUGGCGAAGGCGGCUUACUGGACGAUCACUGACGUUGAGGCUCGAAAGCGUGGGGAGCAAACAGGAUUAGAUACCCUGGUAGUCCACGCCGUAAACGAUGACUACUAGGUGUCGGGGAGCAAAGCUCUUCGGUGCCGCAGCAAACGCAAUAAGUAGUCCACCUGGGGAGUACGUUCGCAAGAAUGAAACUCAA